GACGAACGCUGGCGGCGUGCUUAACACAUGCAAGUCGAACGGAAAGGCCCUGCUUUUGUGGGGUGCUCGAGUGGCGAACGGGUGAGUAACACGUGAGUAACCUGCCCUCGACUUUGGGAUAACUUCAGGAAACUGGGGCUAAUACCGGAUAGGAGCUCCUGCUGCAUGGUGGGGGUUGGAAAGUUACGGCGGUUGGGGAUGGACUCGCGGCUUAUCAGCUUGUUGGUGGGGUAGUGGCUUACCAAGGCUUUGACGGGUAGCCGGCCUAAGAGGGUGACCGGCCACAUUGGGACUGAGAUACGGCCCAGACUCCUACGGGAGGCAGCAGUGGGGAAUAUUGCACAAUGGGCGGAAGCCUGAUGCAGCAACGCCGCGUGCGGGAUGACGGCCUUCGGGUUGUAAACCGCUUUCGCCUGUGACGAAGCGUGAGUGACGGUAAUGGGUAAAGAAGCACCGGCUAACUACGUG
rnacentral:rRNA from 1 species